UACGGGGGGGGCAAGCGUUGUUCGGAAUUACUGGGCGUAAAGGGCUCGUAGGCGGCCAAUUAAGUCAGACGUGAAAUCCCUCGGCUUAACCGGGGAACUGCGUCUGAUACUGGAUGGCUUGAAUCCGGGAGAGGGAUGCGGAAUUCCAGGUGUAGCGGUGAAAUGCGUAGAUAUCGGGAGGAACACCUGUGGCGAAGGCGGCCCCCUGGUUGGAUACUGACGCUGAGACGCGAAAGCGUGGGGAGCAAACAGG
rnacentral:rRNA from 1 species